AUACUUACCUGUCAGGGGAGAUAUCAUGAUAUAAAGGUGAUUUUCCUGGGGCGAGGCUUAUCCACUACCUCAAGAUGUGCUAACCCCUGCAAUUUCCCCAAAUGUAGGAAACUCAACUGCAUGAUUUGUGGUAGUUGGGGAUUGUGUUCUCACUCUUCCCCAG